ensembl:lncRNA
CAAAGGAUAGCUGGGCUAAUCAGAAUCUAGUUGUCCUUCAAGCUUAGCGUUGCUUACGUGGAGCUGUUUCAAGCUGUUAUACAUCCGUAAGAUCAGAGCAGCUACACUUUUCCCCAAGAAGAUAAAGACAAUUUGCCAGUCAGGAGCUGGGCUUUAACACAAAGCCUUUGAGUAGCGUGGUCUUCCCUACAGCUGCAGUUCUAAGAGGACUGUGUGUUAAGGUACGCUGCAUCAAGCAGCUCUUUCAUCCGCUUGCUGAAGACCAACAAAGACUAGAUUUGUCAAGGACACCACCUAGCGACCGCUUGCAUUUAAAGAAGGGGUAUAUGGAGUUGUCCCAUUUCCCUCCAGACUCCCUUGAUUGUGCAGUCCAGCACCAGAAUGGAUAGACCUUUCUUCUUUGGGAGCCAAAUGCAAGGUGUCACGUACACAUCUUUGCUUGGAUAAAUAAAGGAGGAUUACAUAUGGGAGCUGUAGGGCGCCUGCUAAUUGCAGAUGGAUCCUGAAUUUCUCAGCGAUGAAGGGCAGGUGAUUGAGAUAUUGCUGGCAUCCCUUGCAGGCAAUAAAUGCGGUGCCAUUAUUAGCAAUAGUAUUGCAGUCAUGACAGAGCAAGAACGUACACCGGGCAAGAGCUGUGUGUUGAAUGGAUGUACAGAUGUUCAGCUGGGCGGUUGCUAAAAGUGUGUAUGUGACUCUUCGUUGCUGAAUUUCCAGUGUUGAGAAUUAGGGAAACAGCAAAACAAACCCAUGUUUGUAGAGGGUCAAGCAGAUGUAAAGAAAUGUUUUCAUCUUUAAUAUUAUAAAGACUUUCUGUGAUGAGGUGAUGCAAGAUGGAAUUGGAAACCCAAGUCAGGCUUGCCAUCGUUCUCCUUUCUUUAAGCUGAAAUAAACAGGAAAGCUAUUGAAAUACAGUUGAGAAAUUACUGUCAAUAAAAUCAUUACCUUGAAAAUUCAUUCUUUCUCCUUUCUCUUCAGCUGUUUGGUGAUGUAUGUUUCCAUUGCAAUCGUGUGAUUGAAGGAGAUGGUAAGCAGUUCUCUGGCUGUUUUCUUAAGGUUACGUUUUGAUGAAAGUUCUCUCCAAAAGUGGGAGGAAAGUCCUGUGUUGAAUCCCUGACUGCUCCCAUUAAGCCAGAAAGAGGCAUUCUCUCAACGAGAAAUUGAGAUAGAUGCGAUUAGUCAGAGGCCAAAUGGGAAGAAGACCUUACAGCAGAUGUUUUGUGAUGAUGGAAGAGGAAACAGGAGCUAAGGAGAACUGUGGUCUGCUGGAAACCUUUUAGUAAUAAGCAAAGGCUGGGGGUGCUGGGAGAUGCAAAGGACGCUUCCUCCAUCCCUCUGUCGGCUUUAAAAAGGGACACGUACAGCUGUGAGAACGACCACAUAGGCAUCUCCUCAAAUGAAUUUAGGGAUCGUGACACAGAUUUGGAAAAAUACUUCGAUACUGAACGAUGUAGGUGGGCUUUGUGAAGGAUUUUUUUUUUAAGCCUAGCUUCCAUUGUUGAGUUGGUUCCUGGAGAUCUUCACCGAUCUGUCACAGGCACCUGUCUUUUGAAAAUAGAGGCUGACAGAAGAACAUUGUCCUGAAUCCUCUAUCUGAGGUUGAAAAGAGAGCAACGUUUGGCAGGGAAAGGUGCGAAGGUAUACUGAAACAUAAAGUGAAACAUACUGAAGGUAUACAGAACAAAGAGUAAACACUUUCUUCUUUCAGUUGCGUGCCCUCAGAGACAGCUUUAUCUGUGCUUCACAGUCCCACUGUGCAACGAUCAGGUGUGCCUUCCAGGUCUUGCCACGUUAUUGUUGCAGGCCUUAAUGCUUGCCAGAAGAUUCAAAUGAUCGUUCUUCCCAUCUCACAGACAUUUGAGCUUAACUCUUAAUGUUUUUGGUAAUGCUAAUGAUUUACCCUUUUUUUUUUUUCCCUUGCUCUAGUUGUGUCUGCUCUGAAUAAGGCAUGGUGCGUGAACUGUUUCGCUUGUUCAACUUGCAACACUAAGUUAACGCUCAAAAAUAAAUUUGUUGAGUUUGACAUGAAGCCUGUCUGCAAAAAGUGCUAUGAGAAGUUUCCUCUAGAGCUGAAGAAGAGACUGAAGAAAUUAGCUGAAACCGUGGGAAGGAAGUGAAGACUUGGUCUGCUCUCCCCUUUCCUUAUGAAAAUGAAAAAUGACAAAUGAAAAUUUCCCUUAUGAAAAACUCAAUCUGUCACUUGGGAGGGACUCUGAGGCUGUAAUCAGACUACAGAUUACGAUGCAGGCCUUUCGUCUUGACAUUCUCCAUUCUCUCUGUGAGUACAUGUGUAUGGAUUUGUUGAUAAACAGGCCACGCUUCUGUCAACUCACCUGAAAGGUUUCUGGCCCUGCUAAUGCACCGAUACAAGUGGGCCAUUGCACGCAGUAAUCCCUGAGGAAGUUUAGAUUGAGAAAAUGUGCUUGUGAGUACCUGCAAAUACACACUGUGCAAAUGUGCCCAACGUUAGGGGCGUGUGGUGUCAUUUGCAUUAAUGAACAGAUCAGUGUGCAAAUUAAGCAGGCGUGCAAAAUUUCCCGUGGCCUGGGCAAGAAACCAAACAUACCUCAUUUCCCAGAAAAAAUAAUGCUUAGAUUUCAGGUCAGGUAGUCCCGUUGAGGAGCCUUGUUUAAGGUGGUUUGAAAAGUCAAUACAGUCACUGUAGAAAUGACCUACUUCUGAUAGUUUGUACUUACACGCUGAAUUUUUGUACAUCAGACUUAGCAUGAAAUGUCUGUAUGAAGUCUAAUUCCCGCUGCAAGAAACGAGCAUACUCAGAUCUACUUGAAUUUUGCCAUAUUCCAUUCAGAAUAACACAUUAACUUUAUGUAAGCUUUGCAUUUUAUUUACUUUUUGUGCCUUAUUCUGCUGGACCAUAUGUAACAGUGUUCCACUAAAUAUAUAUAUAUAUAUAUAUAUAUGUAUGUAUAGUUUUAUUGUUAUUUCUUAUUUUUGUGCAGAAACUAUGCACGAAGUAUUUUGAAAAGAUAACAAAAUCUGCCUUAACUAUGCAGGAUGCAAGAAGGAUUUUCUUUCGAGCGCGAAUGCCUGAGGUUAAAGUUUAGCUUCUAGGCUUCCCUGACUUCUGGAACAGCAGUGAAAAUGCGUAUUUGAGUUAACUGGCAACGUUACUUUUGCACUGCGAGUGUAAAUGUGUGAGGUUUGAUCCUCCCAGGAUCUAUUUCUUCAGCCAUCUUCAAGAACUGUGCUCACAAAUGGUCAGAAUUCACUGUAGUAUGCUUGGGAUCGUUGUGUCCUAUUGACGUCUGUCCAUGAAAAUUUGUUUUUCCCUUUUCUGUCAGAAAUACCGCUACUUAGGAAUUCUUGAUGGUACUGUGUUACCAAGCGUGCAAACCUUUUUUUUUUUUCCCAUAUUAGAGACACAGUUUUUAUGUAAUUACAUCGUAGCAAGCAAAAAACAGCUUUCCAGUGCCAUUAAUAAAGGCUACGUUAUUAAAUCCUGCUUCACCUCUCUUACGCGACCGCUUGAGAUGGGUGGCAAAGCAUCUCGGCAGCCUUCCUUCGCUCUGCUUCUACCUGUGGCUGUAUGUAAAACUCGUUUACUGUCCUGACUUAGGACAGGCAUAUGUCUCCUCUAAGCAUGCACUUUAGAUUUUAGGUUUAAAAAAUAAAUUGUCGUUUGUUUGAUAACCAACA